rnacentral:lncRNA from 1 species
AUGCUAAUAAUGUUGGGUUUGUGGGUUUUUCUGGCUAAUUUGAUAGGAGCUUUGAUUAGGCAGGAAUAUCAAGUCUUUAUAGCUCUGGGGUGGAGGGCGGCCCCUGUGAGCCCUGCUUAUUUUUCACUUGCAUUUCAAGAUUGUUUUGAUCUCCGUCAGGAAGCACAAGUCAAGAGAUUAAAUUUUUUUUUUUUUUCUUACUUUUCCUUAACGAUUUCCAGGGGCUGUGACUGGAGAACUUGCAGAGAUAAGCAAAGCAGAAGCUUUUCCAUUAAAACUCGCAUUUGUCCCAGCUGCCACACGAUCAUUACACCGAUAAAAAUCAAAGGCAGCUGGACGGGGAGCAAGACGGCCUAUGUAGGCUAA